AUUUAACUAUUUUAAGUUUGGAAGCUGGAGCUGUCGCCACAAAACAAAGAGGCUAAACUAUUACAUUUUCCUGAAGCACCUUCCCAAUUGGUUGACUCCUGUAAACCCUGUAAAUAUGACGUCUGCAGGAAUUCAGCACGUGACUGGCAGAGAUAUCCCAAAUCACCACUGACUCAAGGCUUUCAGAGCGGAGAUGAAGUGGCAGAUGCAGCUGUGAGCAACACCAAUACCAGAGCUUCAGAGAAAUUUUCAUUUCACCAAAGCAGUGGGUUAACUCUCAACACAUCCUAGUCAGAAAGCCUGAGGUUGUUGAACCUUCCAGAAACCAUCAUUUGCAUUUAUUGGCAAGAACUAAACAGAGAAUGUC